rnacentral:tRNA from 1 species
GUCAGGAUGGCCGAGUGGUCUAAGGCGUUAGACUCAAGUUCUAAUUCUCGUGAGAGAGCGUGGGUUCAAAUCCCACUUCUGACA